UACUAGAGUAGCACUCGCAUAUCAAUAAGCGGAGGAAAAGAAACUAACAAGGAUUCCCCUAGUAACGGCGAGUGAAGCGGGAAGAGCUCAAAUUUGAAAUCUUAAAGGGUUUCCCUUUACGAAUUGUAGUUUAAAGAAGUGUUUUCUGUUGAGGUUUUGGUAAAAGUUCUUUGGAAUAGGACAUCAUAGAGGGUGAGAAUCCCGUAUUUGACCUUUACUUUCAACUUUGUGAUACACUUUCAAAGAGUCGGAUUGUUUGGGAAUGCAGUCCAAAAUGGGUGGUAAAUUUCAUCUAAAGCUAAAUAUUGGCGAGAGACCGAUAGCGAACAAGUACCGUGAGGGAAAGAUGAAAAGAACUUUGAAAAGAGAGUUAAACAGUACGUGAAAUUGUCAAAAGGGAAGCGUUUGACACCAGUGUUGUUUUUCUGAAAGUCAAUUAAAGAACUGUUUAUGCUAAGUUGUUUAGACUUUAUCAGCUAACUGUUUAGUUUUGAGCUUUUCUUUAAUGCACUUUUCAGUUAACAAGUCAACAUCAAUUUCUUUUGCUGUAAAAAAGCUUGAGGAAGGUGGCUUGAGAUUCGUCUUAAGUGUUUAUAGCCUCUUGCCUAUGCAGUCGGAGAGAUUGAGGUCUGCAGCGUAGAUCCUUCGGGGCUAAAUGCAUUUGUGCUAAGUUAUAGCAUUUUAUAGACAACUUGUUGACUAUGAUUUGUCUUGUAGCUUACUCGCUUAUGUUAUUUUACCUACGCUUAGGAUGUUGAACUACUGAGACAUAGA
rnacentral:rRNA from 1 species